rnacentral:rRNA from 1 species
CCUACGGGUGACAGCAGUGGGGGAUAUUGCACAAUGGGGGAAACCCUGAUGCAGCGACGCCGCGUGUGGGAAGAAGGUCCUCUGGAUUGUAAACCACUGUUCCCAGGGACGAAAAUGACGGUACCUGGGGAGGAAGCUCCGGCUAACUACGUGCCAGCAGCCGCGGUAAUACGCAGGGAGCAAGCGUUGUCCGGAAUUACGGGGUGUAACGGGAGCGUAGGCGGGGAUGCAAGUUGGGGGUAAAAACUACCGGCUCAACCGAGAGUCGCACUCGAAACUGCAACUCUUGAGUGAAGUAGAGGCAGGCGGAAUGCCUAGUGUAGCGGUGAAAUGCGUAGAUAUUAGGAGGAACACCAGUGGCGAAGGCAGCCUGCUGGGCUUUUACUGACGCUGAGGCUCGAAAGUGUGGGGAGCAAACAGGAUUAGAUACCCGGGUAGUC